CCCAGUCAUUCAGGCAGAAAACCUUGGAAUUACCCUACAUUUUCCUUUCCCUCAGCCCCCUCAUCUGAUCCAUUAGCAAAAACAUAUUGUAAUCGACCUUUCCUCCCAUCCCUUCCUACAUCCGUGCAACCCAACUAAACUUGUCCGUCUGCAUUUGCGGCAUUGCAAAGGCAGGCACCCGGAAUCCCAGCAUUCCUACAGCAAGAUGAUGGGAGGCAGAGGCUGCGGGAUCACCUGGGAGCUUGCAGGCCACUGAUCUGGAGUACACAGUGGAGUAGAAACUAGAAGAGACCUUCCCUCAACAAGACAGAAGGGAAAGUGGCUGAGCUGGGAUGAGGAUGAAGGCUUGCUGGUUUCCAGAUCCUAGCACCCUCUGUUCUGCAGCCCCUGGAGAGGAUUCUACGCUGGGGAGAUUCGAACACUGCAAGUUGUCGAUGGACUACCACGCAGAGGAGACAGCCUUACUCCUGUUAAAACCGACGAGGCAGCCUGAGACUGGCACAUCUCCCUGCCGUCAGUUUCCUCCUGAAGAGGCUGAAAAGGAGAUGGUGUCUGGAUCAGACCCUUGUUUCUGUUCUACCCUGCCCGCAGGAGGAGAGGUUAAGCAGUUUGCUCAAAGCCACAAAGCUGGGGGACAAAAGCGCACCCUUUUGGAAGGCCAGAGGAAGGGGGUCAGAUUUCCUGGAAAUGGAGUUACAGUCGGCCCUGAGCCUCCAUGUGUGCGCUGGGAACCGAGCCCUGGGUCUUCUGCAAGAGCACUUCCUGACGUUCUUGCCUUGGAAACAGAGGCCAGCCACUAGGCCCACCCUCCUGCCCUUCCCGGAGCAAUGGUUCCGAAGAUGACCAGGCGGAUGACCAUGAGUAAACUUCCCAGCUGGCAAAGUCCUAGGGAUUGCUGAUCUGGUCAGCCCCAGCUCUGCAUGUAGACAUCUGGACCACAUGGCCUCUUUGGCCCUCAGCAUCCUCAUCUGAUAGGCCGAGGGGUCAGGUAAUGGGGGUCAUCCAACACAGGCUCUGAUACCCCUCCAGGUAUGGGACCAUGAUAAAGACAUUUGGCUCCAAACUCCCUUUCCUUCUGUCUUGUGCUGUUCUUUCCCUGGCCACU